rnacentral:rRNA from 1 species
CACGUAGGCUGUAUAUCAAGUCAAGGGUGAAAUCCCCGGGCUCAACCUGGGAACUGCCUUUGAAACUGGUAAACUGGAGUAUGUGAGAGGGUGGCGGAAUUCCUGGUGUAGGAGUGAAAUCCGUAGAUAUCAGGAGGAACAUCAGUGGCGAAGGCGGCCACCUGGCACAAAACUGACGCUGAGGUGCGAAAGCGUGGGUAGCAAACA